rnacentral:rRNA from 1 species
AAUACCAUCCUGUUGUGACGGUACCGUAAGAGAAAGCCACGGCUAACUACGUGCCAGCAGCCGCGGUAAUACGUAGGUGGCAAGCGUUGUCCGGAAUUAUUGGGCGUAAAGGGUGCGCAGGCGGUCUCUUAAGUCUGUCUUAAAAGUGCGGGGCUCAACCCCGUGAGGGGACGGAAACUGGGAGACUGGAGUAUCGGAGAGGAAAGCAGAAUUCCUAGUGUAGCGGUGAAAUGCGUAGAUAUUAGGAGGAAUACCAGUGGCGAAAGCGGCUUUCUGGACGACAACUGACGCUGAGGCACGAAAGCCAGGGGAGCGAACGGGAUUAGAUACCCCGGUAGUCCUGGCCGUAAACGAUGGGUACUAGGUGUAGGAGGUAUCGACCCCUUCUGUGCCGGAGUUAACGCAAUAAGUACCCCGCCUGGGGAGUACGGCCGCAAGGCUGAAACUCAAAGGAAUUGACGGGGGCCCGCACAAGCGGUGGAGUAUGUGGUUUAAUUCGACGCAACGCGAAGAACCUUACCAAGCCUUGACAUUGAUCGCAAUGGAUAGAGAUAUCCAGUUCCUCUUCGGAGGACGAGAAAACAGGUGGUGCACGGCUGUCGUCAGCUCGUGUCGUGAGAUGUUGGGUUAAGUCCCGCAACGAGCGCAACCCCUAUCUUCUGUUACCAGCACGUGAUGGUGGGGACUCAGGAGAGACUGCCGCAGACAAUGCGGAGGAAGGCGGGGAUGACGUCAAGUCAUCAUGCCCCUUAUGGCUUGGGCUACACACGUACUACAAUGGCUCUUAAUAGAGGGAAGCGAAAGGGCGACCUGGAGCAAACCCCAAAAACAGAGUCCCAGUUCGGAUUGCAGGCUGCAACCCGCCUGCAUGAAGGAGGAAUCGCUAGUAAUCGCAGGUCAGCAUACUGCGGUGAAUACGUUCCCGGGCCUUGUACACACCGCCCGUCACACCACGAAAGUCAUUCACACCCGAAGCCGGUGAGGCAACCGCAAGGAACCAGCCGUCGAAGGUGGGGGCGAUGAUUGGGGUGAAGUCGUAACAAGGUAGCCGUAUCGGAAGGUGCGGCUGGAUCACCUCCUUUCUA